rfam:Haemonchus placei strain MHpl1 genome assembly, scaffold: HPLM_scaffold0004464
GGCACAAACUUGAAGUAGAGUAGACUAGUAUGGUCAGCUCAUCCUGCCAGUCUAUUCUACUUCAAAUUUGGGUCC